rnacentral:rRNA from 1 species
AACGAACGCUGGCGGCAGGCUUAACACAUGCAAGUCGAACGCCUGUAGCAAUACAGGAGUGGCAGACGGGUGAGUAACACGUGGGAACGUGCCCAAAGGUACGGAACAACUCCGGGAAACUGGAGCUAAUACCGUAUGUGCCCGAGAGGGGAAAGAUUUAUCGCCUUUGGAUCGGCCCGCGUCUGAUUAGCUAGUUGGUGGGGUAAUGGCCUACCAAGGCGACGAUCAGUAGCUGGUCUGAGAGGAUGGCCAGCCACACUGGGACUGAGACACGGCCCAGACUCCUACGGGAGGCAGCAGUGGGGAAUAUUGGACGAUGGGCGCAAGCCUGAUCCAGCCAUGCCGCGUGAGUGAUGAAGGCCUUAGGGUUGUAAAGCUCUGUCGCCAGGGACGAUAAUGACGGUACCUGGAUAAGAAGCCCCGGCUAACUUCGUGCCAGCCGCCGCCGUAACAC